UGGGGAAUCUUGCGCAAUGCGCGAAAGCGUGACGCAGCAACGCCGCGUGGGGGAAGACGGCCUUCGGGUUGUAAACCCCUUUCAGUUGGGACGAAGCUUCAACGGUGAAUAGCCGGCUGGAGUGACGGUACCUUCAGAAGAAGCCCCGGCUAACUACGUGCCAGCAGCCGCGGUAAUACGUAGGGGGCAAGCGUUGUCCGGAAUCAUUGGGCGUAAAGAGCGUGUAGGCGGUUCAGUAAGUCUGCUGUGAAAGUCCAAGGCUCAACCUUGGGAUGCCGGUGGAUACUGCUGGACUAGAGUACGGAAGAGGCGAGUGGAAUUCCCGGUGUAGCGGUGAAAUGCGCAGAUAUCGGGAGGAACACCUAUUGCGAAGGCAGCUCGCUGGGACGUCACUGACGCUGAGACGCGAAAGCGUGGGGAGCAAACAG
rnacentral:rRNA from 1 species